AAUUUUGGACAAUGGGGGAACCCCUGAUCCAGCCAUCGCGCGUGUAUGAAGAAGGCAUUCGGGUGGUAAAGUACUUUGGGGAGAGAAGAAAAGGGAUCCCCUCAUACGGGAUACUGCUGCCGGUGUCUGCGUAAUAAGCACCGGCGAACUACGUGCAGCGAGCCGCGGGAAUACGUAGGAGUCAAGCGUUAAUCUGAAUUAUAGGGCGUAAAGCGUGUGUAUACGGUUGGGAAAGAAAGAUGUGAAAACCUUGGGCUCAAACUAGUAACUGCAUUUUUAACAGCCGAGCUAGAGUAUGUCAGAGGGGUAUAGAAUUCCACGUGUAUCAGUGAAAUGCGUAGAUAUGUGGAGCAAUACCGAUGGCGAAGGCAGCCCCCUGUGAUAAUACUGACGCUCAGACACGAAAGCGUGGGGAGCAAACAGG
rnacentral:rRNA from 1 species